ensembl:snoRNA SNORD22 Small nucleolar RNA SNORD22
CCUUUGUGAUGACAUCCGCAUACGUCUUACGCCUCUGUUUAACGCCAGAACCUGUAAAGGUGGACCCACUGGUGUUGCCUUGGCAAUAAGGGGAAGGAAAGUUGGUGUCGCCAACAGUCUGAAUGGA